rnacentral:misc_RNA from 1 species
UGCCAUAUUCCCUAGUACGCAUCUUCUUUAACUUGAAUUAUUUGUAAGGAUAGCAAGAUGUGUACUUUUUCAUGCAUCUCAUUGAUCUCUGUAAAACAAUGCAUAAUUUGGAAUUACUGUUCUUUAGUGAUGAAGCAACAGUAAGAACAAUUGAUCACAAAGCCAGUUUUCUGUCAGCAAUACGUAUAUAUAAUGUAGAUGAUGUGAAUUUAAGAGGCAUAAUAAAAAUUUGUAAUAAGCAGCAGGGACAACAAAAAUUCAGAUACAUUUGGCAGGUCCACAUGAUAGCAUGCUAGAUUGACAAAAUGAAUGCUUGCUUGCUUAAUGAUUACCAAAUCUAUUUAGUAUUAUUUACUUGAUAGCUGGGUCCCACUAUGCCAUAUGACCAAGGGCCACAUCCAUGUGAGUGCAAAGUGACAAGGAAAAGAGUUAUGAUAACUUUUGCUACAGCCUAGUACAGGAAUAGGUAAACAGUAACAGGAAUAUGCAUUGUUUUCAACUUUUGAUAUGUAGCGGUGGAACCAUUUUCUCAACAAAGAGAAAUGGGAUGAAAGAUGCAUGAGAAGCGUCUGCUCAAGGAUAUGAUCUUAUUGGUGUGGAUGGCGAGAAAGGUUGUUAUGAAGAUCUGAUAUGACAAGAUGGCCCCCAAAUCUUAACCUCUAACUCUGAAUGAGAUAGAGCUGUGUUUGUUAUGGAGGUCGGAUCACCCUGAAUGUUAGAAAGCAGAAUGCUGCUUUGAAAACUCGGAUGAAAUUCCCUCUAGAUCCCAGUAAAGUCUUUAUAGUCCCACUAACUGCAAGUUUAUGUUGACAAAAAGGCAACUAAUUCAUAAAAAGGACAUGGUAAGAACUCAAUAUGUUUCUUCUAUUUCCCAAUUUGACUUGAUAAUUUUUCAACUGCAUGGUCUUGAUUUACAUUUUUAUAAAGUUUAACAACAGUUCUUUCAUGUCCCAUGCUGCUAAUAACUGUUGAUCAUUGUGAUUUUUUUCUUUUUUAAUUCUGUUCUGUCAGGUCUGGCGAUGGCUGCAGAUCCGAACUUUAAGACAUUUGAAGCUGCAUACCCAUAUGUUGUCAGAAAACUACUCACUGAAAAUUCAGCUGAAACAAGGAAAAUUUUACAUUCGGU